rnacentral:rRNA from 1 species
UACAGAGGGUGCGAGCGUUAAUCGGAAUUACUGGGCGUAAAGCGCGCGUAGGCGGUUUUGUAAGUCGGGUGUGAAAUCCCCAGGCUCAACCUGGGAACUGCAUUCGAGACUGCAUGACUGGAGUAUGGGAGAGGACAGCGGAAUUUCCGGUGUAGCGGUGAAAUGCGUAGAUAUCGGAAGGAACAUCAGUGGCGAAGGCGGCUGUCUGGCCCAAUACUGACGCUCAUGUGCGAAAGCGUGGGGAGCAAACGGG